rnacentral:ncRNA from 1 species
GCAUGGUUGUCGUCAGCUCGUGUCGUGAGAUGUUGGGUUAAGUCCCGCAACGAGCGCAACCCUUGUCUUGUGUUGCCAGCACGUUAUGGUGGGGACUCGCGAGAGACUGCCGGGGUUAACUCGGAGGAAGGUGGGGAUGACGUCAAAUCAUCAUGCCCCUUAUGUCCAGGGCUUCACACAUGCUACAAUGGUCGGUACAGUGGGUUGCGAUACCGUGAGGUGGAGCUAAUCCCUUAAAGCCGGUCUCAGUUCGGAUUGGAGUCUGCAACUCGACUCCAUGAAGUCGGAGUCGCUAGUAAUCGCAGAUCAGCAACGCUGCGGUGAAUACGUUCCCGGGCCUUGUACACACCGCCCGUCACGUCAUGAAAGUUGGUAACACCCGAAGCCAGUGGCCUAAACUUGUUAGGGAGCUGUCGAAGGUGGGAUCGGCGAUUGGGACGAAGUCGUAACAAGGUAGCCGUACCGGAAGGUGCGGCUGGAUCACCUCCUUU